rnacentral:misc_RNA from 1 species
AUUCCGUAGGUGAACCUGCGGAAGGAUCAUUGUCGAAACCUGCCCAGCAGAACGACCCGCGAACUUGUAUAGACAACCGGGGGCGGGGGGCGUUCUCGCCCCGUGCCCCCGAACGGCGGGGAGACACUCGUGCCUUCUUGCCGAACAACGAACCCCGGCGCGGUCUGCGCCAAGGAACUUCAACUAAAGAGUGCCUCCGGUCGCCUCGGAAACGGCGUGUGUGCCGGGGGCGAAUCUUGUGCAAAACCAUGACGACUCUCGGCAACGGAUAUCUCGGCUCUC